UGAGGAAUAUUGGUCAAUGGACGCAAGUCUGAACCAGCCAAGUAGCGUGCAGGAUGACGGCCCUAUGGGUUGUAAACUGCUUUUAUAUGGGGAUAAAGUGGGGAACGUGUUCCCUUUUGCAGGUACCAUAUGAAUAAGGACCGGCUAAUUCCGUGCCAGCAGCCGCGGUAAUACGGAAGGUUCGGGCGUUAUCCGGAUUUAUUGGGUUUAAAGGGAGCGUAGGCCGUUUGGUAAGCGUGUUGUGAAAUGUAGGAGCUCAACUUCUAGAUUGCAGCGCGAACUGUCAGACUUGAGUGCGCACAACGUAGGCGGAAUUCAUGGUGUAGCGGUGAAAUGCUUAGAUAUCAUGAAGAACUCCGAUUGCCAAGGCAGCUUACGGGAGCGCAACUGACGCUGAAGCUCGAAGGUGCGGGUAUCGAACAGG
rnacentral:rRNA from 1 species